GGUUGUAUAGCCUAAUUUCAAGGCAUUUGAAUUGCAAUCAAAUCAUGAAUAUAUAUUCUACAGCCA
rnacentral:tRNA from 1 species